AUUGAACGCUGGCGGCAUGCCUUACACAUGCAAGUCGAACGGCAGCACGGGAGCAAUCCUGGUGGCGAGUGGCGAACGGGUGAGUAAUGUAUCGGAACGUACCUUCAGUGGGGAUAACGUAGCGAAAGUUACGCUAAUACCGCAUAUUCUGUAAGCAGGAAAGCAGGGGAUCGCAAGACCUUGCGCUGAUUGAGCGGCCGAUAUCAGAUUAGCUAGUUGGUGAGGUAAAGGCUCACCAAGGCGACGAUCUGUAGCGGGUCUGAGAGGAUGAUCCGCCACACUGGAACUGAGACACGGUCCAGACUCCUACGGGAGGCAGCAGUGGGGAAUUUUGGACAAUGGGCGCAAGCCUGAUCCAGCCAUGCCGCGUGAGUGAAGAAGGCCUUCGGGUUGUAAAGCUCUUUCAGCCGGGAAGAAAACGCAUGGGUUAAUACCCUGUGUGGAUGACGGUACCGGAAUAAGAAGCACCGGCUAACUACGUG
rnacentral:rRNA from 1 species